rnacentral:lncRNA from 1 species
GAUGUAAGUACUGCCCCUUCUUGUCACUUUGUGUUGCUGAGAUAUAUAUAUCCUUCCUCCUUCUACCGGUCCUUCUUUCCUUCCCCACCCCCUUAGGAAAUAAAGUAGUCCUCCCUUCCUCCUUCUGUCUUUUUUUUUCUCAUUCUUCUGCUUUUUCACCCCAUCAACCCUUUCCUCCCCCCCUCCCAAACAAUCCCUAUUACAGAACAACAACAAGGGAAAAACCCAUCUAGGAGAAGGAGCAACCAUGACCCCCUCCUGCUCACAGAAGUCAGGAGGACAAAUCUAAAUACAUGGAGGACUUUAUUUUAUAAAAAUAUAUUAUUUUUUUAUUUCAUUUUUUUUAAUGGACCGGAUGAUCUCCAAAUGCAACAAUAAAACCUACAGCUUUGCAGGGGAGGUGAGCUUUUGUCUGAAUUAUUAUUUUUAUUAAUGCUUGAUAUUUGUUAUAUAACUAUUCAUUUGGCUGUUUAUGUAGAAUUUAGGUUAUAAAGCAAAAUAUCACUAUCCUGUGACUGUAUUCUAUUGCUCGAACGUAUGAUUGUAAACUCUAUUGUUCAUAGUCUGAGACUCUUCGUGGCAAACCCUGUCUUAACAAAUUUCACUCAGUAAUGUUCUGCUGUCAGUUGGAGAGGGGGUUGUAAGGUGCAGAGAGUAAGCUCUUGGGCUCAGUGAAUGACCUAGCUCAGUGGUGCUUGCUUUGUGUAGCACUGUACCCUAGCUGAGCAAACAUACAAUGAUGUCAUCGUAUUGUAAACUGCAUUGAUUCAAUGAAAUACCAUCUUCCACACAUCACACCCCCUAAUACCUCCCCCUCAAACAUGCCUCAGUUUUAUUCUUUUCAUAAUCAGUCUAUAUUAUGGUCAUGAUGUUUGGCAUUCUGUUUAACUGAUCUAUGCUGUGAUCUGCAGAGAUAAAAUGUAGUUUAUUCUAUGUAUCCGUGGAUGGUUUGUGGUGUUACACCAUGGUAAACAUUACAUGGAGUUGUUGCAGUGCAGUGUUAAUAUAUGCACAAGUGUUCGUGGUAAACACUGUGGGGUUCAUUCACUAAAUGGUGAAAUGUAGUUAAUGGAAAAAUUAAUUUCCAUUUUUAGACCAAAAUAGCCAAGCAGUGACUAUAAUUGAAAUAGGAAAGAAACACUUUUGCCUGAAUAUUUCAGUUUGUUUUUAAUUUGCUACAAUUAAAAGCCAAUAAAACCCAAAUGCUACUUUUUUUGAUCUGUUGCCAUGGUACAAUGUUACUAUCCAGCUGGCAGGGGUUGAAAUGGUUUGAUAAAGUGUAAACACUGACUUAAUUUUUUUUUUGGUUUAGUUUUGUUUUUCUACACCCAAAGCUUCACACAUAGUAUCAAUAUGCAAAAUAUUAAUAUGUUCUUAGUAGAUUUCAUACUAGAUUGCUUCUCCCAAAUCUUUUAGGACUUGCUAGAAGGAUACAUGGAUCAUGGCACUAGCUUGUUUUAUAUAAUAAACAAAGAUAUGCACUAUAAGGGGAAAAUAAGUAUAUUUAUUUUUAAUGUUAGAAUGUUCCUAUGCUGUGGAUCCAGCCAAUCCCUCACCCCCCCUUUAAAAUGAAACAAGCAAAAAACAAGCAUAUCUAUUAAAUUUACCUGUAAUCCAUCUCAGGGACCAUCUCCUCGCAGUAGCUGCUCCUCCUCUUCUGAGAUCAUCAUGACCAAUGAUCUUGGUCCAAUCCAUAAAGAAGUAUUGCGGACGUACGGCACAUGCGCAGCUGUGCGUGAUGACACCAAAUGUGAAAACCUUUUGAUUUUUGAUGAUCUUACUAAGGAGUUGUCGUUAACCCUGUUUGCCCUAUCACCGGGGAACAGUGCCAGGUUACCCAUGGUAUCAUAAUCACUAGAGUGAGCAUUAAUAUUUGUGAUUAGCUACACAUGCCAACCAUGCACACCUUAACUGCUUUCUGAUAAAGCACAGACACACACCUGGCAUGUGUUCUUAAAGGGACACUAUAGUCACCAAAACAACUACAACUUAAAGAAACACUGUAGGCACCCAGACCACUUCAGCUCAUUAAAGUGAUCUGGGUGUAGUGUCCCUUUUGCACCUAGUGUUUCAAUGUUAAACAUUGCAGUUCCAGAGAAACUGCACUGCUUACAUUGCAGCACAGUCAGCCUCUAGUGGUUGUUUACAAGACAGCCACUAGAGGGCUUUCUGGAUUGAAAUGGACAUUUGGUCUGAUAUCUGAUGUUGGACAUCCUCACAUACUCAUGUCUGAGUACACCCAGUGUCAAAUGAUUCCCCAUUGAUUCAAUGCUUUCCUGUGGGGAGGUAUAAUGCACAGGUGGCAUUUGCCACACAUUCGCCUUAGCGCCCGCUCGGUGCAGGGCAUCGGUGCUCGGAUCAGGUGAGUAAAUGAAGGGCUUUUAACCCUUUACAUUAUUGCUUAGGUGCAUUCAGAUGGCCAAUAGAAGUGCUUCCUGGGUCAGUGCUGCCCAGCGUGCAGCACUGGCGUUAAGUCUUCAUACUCUGCAUGGAGGUGCUGAACUUUGAGUCAGUGCAUCUCUAUGAGGAGAUUCUGAUUGGCCAGCGCAGUGUUUUGCUGUGCUUGUGCUAUAGCCUCCCAAUGCUUUCCUGUAGGAAAGCAUUGGAUUGGCUGAGAUAGUCACCAAGGAGGCGGAUUAUGGGCCGAGCCAGUGCCAGCAAGAUGGGGGGAGGUAAGGUUUAUUUUUUGUUUUGUUUUUUCCCUUUUUUAGGGGGAACGGAUCUAACUAGUGUUUUUAACACUGUAGGGUCAAGAAUACACGUUUGUAUACCUGACCCAAUAGUAUUCCUUUAACCCUGAGUGGUCACUAACGAAUACAAGCUAGCUGGAGAAACUUAGCGACAGGGUUGAAGCAAGCCUUUUUGUUUCAAUAUGAUAUAUUGAGAUUUAGCUGUGGUUUACAUCUUUACAUCAGGCCGAAGGGUGAUGUUAAGUUUUUUGACUUGGCGGCAGCUGGAAAUGAAUAGCGACGAGAUUGUAAACUAAUUGCUAAGUAGUGGUUAGUGGCUCCCAUAGAAAAUAAUAGAAGUUGUUAGAGACCCUCUUUCAGUAAUGGCAGCUGGUAACUCUGUGUCACUACUUGUUAAAUUUUUCAUUCGGGAAACCGCCUUUACUCGCUAACAGGCAUGGUAAUGACCGGCACACAUUCAUUAAUAAGUCGCAACAAGCUUUAUAACAAAGGGUUGCAGUGAAUUGAAAUUGAACUGCAAAAUAUCUUUUUGUUUUUGAAAUAUUCUCCCACAAGCAAUAGUCACAGCUGGGGGAUAUUCGCUUGAAAAUUGGAAUUUGGUUUUACGUUCACCACUCUUCACUGUUUAGUGCAAAAAAUGUUUAAAUGCGAAGGCAUAAUGACUUAUUAUGUGCUGUAAAUCCAGAGAUUACACCUUUUAAAGCACAGUAAUGAGGCACUCUCCUGUGAGUCAGGCAUUCUGUUAAAAUCCUCAAACUUGAAUUAUUUUAAAAAGCACAAAGUAAAGUAGUAAAUUAACACAAAAGAAUAGGUGAAGGUAAAACGACUUGUUUGCGGCUAAAUUCGGUACAGGCUGCUCUCUGCCCUAUUAACGUUUGAAUAAUGCAAGUUGUGGUACUUUUGAGUGCCUUUUGAGAAGCAGUUUAAGAUAAUGCACACGUCUCAUUGUAUGGCCUUGUGAAUGAAUAUCUGUGUUUUUACUGCAGUCUAGGUCAAGUGCUGAUAUAAUUAGGGGUCACAUGGAAGAGUGUUGCUAAUCUCAUGGUUUACAUUGAUUUUGUAAUGAGCCAUAAAGUUUGUCCUUGCCCAAAUAGAUGACAUUAUUAUUCAUAAUAAUAAUAAGCUUACUUGAGAUCAUAUGUAAAGUUAAUUAUGUACUUGUAUGUUUUGUUUGCAGGUAGCUGUAUCCUGUUGGGUGGCAGGCGUAUCCAAGGGGUACCAUGAAAUACCCAGGGCCCCUGGAGAGCCAGAGACUGUCCUUUCUUUUAGAAAGGGCAGUCUCUAGGGAAGCCCAGAUGUGGAAGGUGUAUGUUCACAAGACCUCACCCAAUCAGGUAAUAUCCUUUCCACAUCUUGCAUUUUUUUUU